UACGGAGGGUGCGAGCGUUGUCCGGAAUCACUGGGCGUAAAGGGCGCGUAGGUGGCCUGUGGAAGUCUGCGGUGAAAGCCCGGCGCUCAACGCCGGGUCGGCCGUGGAUACUCUCGGGCUCGAGCUUACUAGAGGCAGAUGGAAUUCCGGGUGUAGCGGUGGAAUGCGUAGAGAUCCGGAAGAACACCAGUGGCGAAGGCGGGUCGCUGGGCAGUAACUGACGCUGAGGAGCGAAAGCGUGGGGAGCGAACAGG
rnacentral:rRNA from 1 species